AUUGAACGCUGGCGGCAGGCCUAACACAUGCAAGUCGAACGAGUGGCGGACGGGUGAGUAAUGUCUGGGAAACUGCCUGAUGGAGGGGGAUAACUACUGGAAACGGUAGCUAAUACCGCAUACCAUCAGAUGUGCCCAGAUGGGAUUAGCUUGUUGGUGGGGUAACGGCUCACCAAGGCGACGAUCCCUAGCUGGUCUGAGAGGAUGACAAGACACACUGGAUCUGAGACAAUGUCGAGAAACAUACGGGAGGCAGCAGUGGGGGAUAGUGCACAAUGGGUGCAAGCCUGAUGCAGCAAUGGCUGGUGUAUGAAAAAGGCCUUCCGGUUGUGAAGUACGUUCAGCGGGGAGGCGUUACCGGCAGAAGAAGCACCGGCUAACUCCGUGCCAGCAGCCGCGGGAAUUC
rnacentral:rRNA from 1 species